rnacentral:rRNA from 1 species
AGCGGCGGACGGGUGAGUAAUGCGUGGGUAACCUGCCUCAUACAGGGGGAUAACAGUUAGAAAUGACUGCUAAUACCGCAUAAGACCACGGUACCGCAUGGUACAGUGGUAAAAACUCCGGUGGUAUGAGAUGGACCCGCGUCUGAUUAGGUAGUUGGUGGGGUAACGGCCCACCAAGCCGACGAUCAGUAGCCGACCUGAGAGGGUGACCGGCCACAUUGGGACUGAGACACGGCCCAG